AGCCGCAUUGAUUGGAUCGGGAUACUCUAUCUAUUUUUAUGAUAUACCGCGACUAGCUUCGCUUCUCUAUGGCGGGCCUACGCCCUUCGGGGUUACUCUUGAGUCGGUGGAUUACUUAGUAGUAGGUAGUACUCNUAUCAGUCUAUACGGAGUUUCAUCACAUUAACCGUGCGGCGUUCUUA
rnacentral:sRNA from 10 species